rnacentral:rRNA from 1 species
CCUACGGGAGGCAGCAGUGGGGGAUAUUGGACAAUGGGGGGAACCCUGAUCCAGCGACGCCGCGUGAGUGAAGAAGUAUUUCGGUAUGUAAAGCUCUGUCAGCAGGGAAGAAAGAAAUGACGGUACCUGACCAAGAAGCCCCGGCUAACUACGUGCCAGCAGCCGCGGUAAUACGGAGGGGGCAAGCGUUAUCCGGAAUUACUGGGUGUAAAGGGAGCGUAGACGGUUAAGUAAGUCUGGAGUGAAAGGCCGGGGCCCAACCCCGGGACUGCUCUGGAAACUAGUGAACUUGAGUGCAGGAGAGGUAAGCGGAAUUCCUAGUGUAGCGGUGAAAUGCGUAGAUAUUAGGAGGAACACCAGUGGCGAAGGCGGCUGACUGGACUGUAACUGACGUUGAGGCUCGAAAGCGUGGGGAGCAAACAGGAUUAGAUACCCUGGUAGUC